AGAGUUUGAUCCUGGCUCAGGAUGAACGCUAGCUACAGGCUUAACACAUGCAAGUCGAGGGGAAACGGCAUUGAGUGCUUGCACUCUUUGGACGUCGACCGGCGACGGGUGAGUAACGCGUAUCCAACCUUCCCAUUACUGUGGGAUAACCUGCCGAAAGGCAGACUAAUACCGCAUAGUCUUCGAUGACGGCAUCAGAUUUGAAGUAAAGAUUUAUCGGUAAUGGAUGGGGAUGCGUCUGAUUAGCUUGUUGGCGGGGUAACGGCCCACCAAGGCUACGAUCAGUAGGGGUUCUGAGAGGAAGGUCCCCCACAUUGGAACUGAGACACGGUCCAAACUCCUACGGGAGGCAGCAGCGAGGAAUAUUGGUCAAUGGACGGAAGUCUGAACUAGCCAAGUAGCGUGCAAGAAUGACCGCCCUAUGGGUUGUAAACUGCUUUUUGUAUGGGGAUAAAGUUAGGGAC
rnacentral:rRNA from 1 species